AACCAUUUCACUGAUAAGAAAACCAAGACUGAAAGAGUUUAUCAGCUGUUCUACAGGGGUUCUGAUAUCGUGUGUGUGUGUGUGUGUGUGUGUGUGUGUGUGUGUACACACCAUAGACUCUUGGCAGUCUACUGAAGCCUUGGGACCUCUCCUCAGAAAAGUGUUUUAAAAUCCAUAAAAUAAGGUAGUUAAAUAAGAUUACCAAAGAAAUCAGCUGCAUUGCAGCACAGUUAUCAAAUAGAAAAACAAUUGUAAUAAGGUGAGAUUUGUUCUUGUCAACUUGUAAAAUAUCAAGUCCCAGCAGCAAAUCUGGUAACAACCACAAUGGCAGAGGUGUCAUGAGGAUAAAGGACAUCAAGUUCUCUGUGACACAUGUAACAUGAUAUGCCUACAUCAUUUUUAUUGGUGACAAAGUCACAGAGACUCCCAAUCCUGCUACAUAUCUGUUGCCUAUAUUCAGAAUGAACAAAAAGAAAUAUUUAAUUUCAGUUUGAGGCUAGUCAACAAAGAUAUGAUGUAUUUUCUUUCUGUCCAGGUUCACGAGUGCCCUGAAUUCCACCCACAGAGCUACUGGAUGUUAGGAGCCCAGGUGAAGAUCCCAGAGCUGGGGAAUGACAGGUUGGAAAAGCCCAGCCAGCUGUGCCAGCCUCCAGAGACACACUCUUGAUCGCUGUCAGGUUCCGGGAAAGGCCAGGCGGGUGUCAGAGGUCUCUGUCAACCCGCUGAGUCAGCAGAGGCAGAAGGCAUUCUUCUUAAGUUCCCAGGGAGAGAGUCGAGCUAAGGAUCCUGGGUGAUGCCACUUUGCAGUGCCUGUCCCCGAGAGAACUGCAUGGACUAGGUACGUGGUACAACUUUCUUAUAUUCAUAAUAAUCAUGAGAAUGAUUGGAGUGGAAAUGAACCCAAACAUAUCUGUGAAGUAAUAAGCUAGGAAAAUUAGUACAUACACACACAUACUUGCAAGUUAUUCUUUAUAAAGUGUACAGGUCCAAUAUCCAGUCUUCUGUUAACAAAAUGUUGAUUUCCCUCUGAGAAUCCAGACCUUAUACAUUCUCAGUCCUUGCGAGGCUGGGUUCCGGGGAUGUCAUGUGAUCCACUAAGGCCCAGCCAAUCAGAGUGUUGCUGGCCAGUGACUGGUUCUGAAUGAUCAUGUGGCUCAAGUCUGACCAACUGGAGUCAAUAAGAACUCAGUACCGAAACUUUCUUUUUUGAGCCCUUGAGAGAGAGGUUAUGUGCUGUCAGGUGGUUCUUGCUAAGAGAAUAAGAAGUCAGCUGCCUUGAUGGUGGAGAGGAUUUCCCGGGUGUAUAUUUGUCCCC
rnacentral:lncRNA from 13 species